AAAUCUCUAUUACUGACCCUUCACUUUAUGAGAUAACUCGGAUCACUGAUCUGAAAUCAGUAGGGAAUGAUGAAGUAAUCUGGAAAUGCAGCACCAGAGGUGCCAACUACUACAUUUUGUCUAUAACAGCUAAAGUUUUGAACCCCUGCUAUGUGACUAUGAAUUCUGAUAGUGAAUUAAAGCUUAAAUAAAUCUGCCUCUAAUUGAUUGUUUUAAAAUUAACUCUGAUGUGAACAAAGUGCAUGCCCUAAUUGACUUCCCAAAAGAAAUGUAUGGUAACAUGACGUGCAGAGUUGUGAAAAACUGAAUUUGAAUAUCUUUAGCCUAGGUGUAUAAUAAACUAUAAUUGAAAGUAAUAACACAUUCUAAAGAUUUUGUGUUGUAUGAGCUACUUUUGUUCAGUUCACCUAUCUAUAAAACCAGCAUCAGAGUUGACUGAGCUAUUGGGAUGGCAGGUAUUGUGAGGAAGGGGGGAGUGUCGGAGCACCACACACAACUGUACAGGGACUCAAAAAGCUUAUCACCGAGGUGAUAAGCCACAGAGGCUAGAGGAAACGAGGAAGGGGAAAAAUAAAACAGAAUGACCGGAGUGAAAACUCAAACUCCCUGUCAAGCCUUAAAAAAUGGCCAGACCGAAAACAACCCUGUAAAAACAAGGGCGAGAAACAGAGAACAAAAACACUUAGUCACAGCUCAGACCCGAAACAAAACAAAAAAAGAAAACUUGGGGUCAAAAACCGGGAGACCCAAGAACCUAAGGCGCAGCUUAGGAAAAAGAAAAGGUAAAGCCCUAACGGUCUGCCGGCACGAAGCCCAGAAACACAGACCGAAAUACAAACCUUCUAAGGGGAGAGAAUAGAAGGCUUUUAAACAGGCUCUGAAUUACCUUACCAGCUCAAUGUGGACGUAAGUUGACACUGAAGCAAGGACUGAAAGUCAGACAGUGUCUUAAAUACCCUUGCACGACGCAGGUGGCCGAAAUCACGGCAUAGGGAGGAAUAAAUGGAAACAGGUGCAUCUAAUGAGGUCGUAAUCAGGCCGGGAGGCCCUCAAGCGGCCAAAGACGACAGGUAUGCCUUCCUGCCAAGUUACACCAUGGCGGAGCGGCAUGCUCCAUACCUAUGCAGCACCGAGAGUUUGGCAAUUUUCAGGGUUUCCUACAGAAAUAACCACAAUGACCAAAUUCACAAACAACUUCACUUGUCCGCUCAAUAAAGCCCCAAACUUAGAGGAUUUUGCAUUUUCUCCUUCUUCUUUUUUUGCCUGCCUGAUUAUAUCAUCACAAUGUUUCAAGCCCACAAACAGUAUGUCUCCUCAUUAGACUUGAACUACACCAGCUAAUAACAACAAUACAUUUAUCCAUCCAUCCAUCCAUCCAUUCUCUAAACCAUUUAAUCCAGGUCAGGGUUGCGGUGGCAAAGGGGCAAGCAGAGCAGCCCAGACGUCCCUCUCCCCAGCAACUCCGACUAAGUCAUCCCGGUGGAUCCCCAGGCGAUCCCAGGCCAGCCUUUGAUCCCAGGCUAGCAUUUGGUUCAUUGUGAAGGUUUUCUUGCUGGCUAGGCCAUAUGAAACUAAAACCUGGCUUGAAUUACAGUUGAAUUGAGUUAAACUAGUCCCUAAUGUCAAAACAUGUCAUCCUGCAUUUCCACUCCUUUAGACAUCUUCAUUCCAUUUAUAUUUGGGCUUGUGCUUACUGGGCUACCUUCUUUAAAAGCAUGAGCAAAUGACGGCAUUAACCUCUUAGUGCAAAGCCCCUAGUGGUCGGAAUGCUGGCAUGCCGAGAUUACUGAACUCAGACAUUCAGUGCUACUGCAACCAAAGUAUAAGUUAAAAACAGAAACGCUUUGUUUUAGUUUCAUUAAUAUAUGUAACAUUUCAUUUAACAAGCACCCCCUCCCUGCGGUCUCAUCUGCAACUACACCCCCCACCCAUGACAUAAUGGACAAUAUUGUCUAUCUGGGCAUUCAUAAAAAUAUUCUUUCACCACUCAAAAAUCAUAUUCCGUCAUAGCAAAACGAUAAACCCGACAAUAGCCCUAAGAUAUCCCUAUACAGCAGUGAAAACGCUGCUCACUGAAUAACGAAGUAAAUGAGACAAGUUUUCAAAAAUGAUACCAUGUCAUUCUACAGUCAGUAUUUGGGUCUAAAUAUUGAAUAUAUGGUUGUACACGUAGAGUUGUCCCUUUUGAGACGGAGUGGUCAUAUAUUGUCUUGGACAAUCUGUUUGUGAAAUAUACACACAUUUGUGACGCCUUACCUUCCAAAAUAGCUGUGCGUAAUACCACACGUGUUGUUUACUCCGUUGUCGCCCUUUUUAGUACUGUCUGGCUUGAUUGGCAGUUCAUUUGCUCAGUAGAUGAGAGUAUAAGCUUUCUAAUGAUGUAUAACAUGUCUAAUUUUGUUUUUGGAAUAGCGUUUUAUAGGUCAGCGUAACCGAAAGUUUUCUUAUCAUCACAUUCACUUACGCAUUCACUCUGUGGUAGCAGUAAAAGACGAAACGUUGUGAACGAUUUCUUGGAAAAUACUAUUAUUAUUGAGGACGUCUGGGCAUAGCUAAGCCAUAUGUUUGCUGAUAGACCUAGCUGACAUUGUUUUCUGGAGUAAGACCGAAGCGGAUAGAACUAAUUGAUUUACUGUCUCUGUCUCUAUCUACUGAACACAGAUAACAUUUCAUCAUCCCUAUGUAAGUAUAAUAAAUAUUAAAAUAUUUUGGAUAUUUAUGUUAAAUUGAAAAAUGAAAUUGAGUGUCUUCAAAUAUGUUAGUGGCAUUUUAUAAUGAGGAUAUUUCACACUGUAAUGUAAGCGUUGACAUUACAGUGAUGACAGGAGAGUUGGAACAUUGCCAAAAUGUGGUGGACGGUUGAAAAUUGUUUUCAUGUUGUCCCAUCUCCAUACAAGAAUACAUACGAGAGUACAGAGUAUAGAAAUACAUACAAGAGUUAAUUAUUACACAUUUAGGUACUGUACUGCAUUGUGUGACAAUAUUUUUGCAUUAUUUUUUAAUCUGAUAUCAAUGUUUCAUCUUAAACCUUCAUAAGGGUCUCGUUUAUAUGCUUUAUAAUGGACAAAAAGCAUUUCAUUUAUUUUUGGAGAGAUUUUGGAUAUGUUACUGGAACCCUCGCUAUUUUAGACCACUGUACUGAUGGAAAGCUUGUAAUUCCCAUUUGAAAAUUGAUGCAACAGUGAGUUUCUUGAGUCAAAACACUUGAUUUGUAGUGAAAUAUGUGAAUACGUUGUGAUUUCAGCAAUGCAUAAUUUUGACAUUUUGGGUAGAUUUGGAGACGCUGGGUACACUGCUUAGUUUUUGCUUCAUAGAUCUUUAGUAUUUCUACAUAUCCACCCUUAGGUUUUAUGAACUUGUGGUCAAGAAGUUUUUGAUUCAGGACAUGUAUAGUUUAACCUGCUGUAUAUAUACAAUAUCUCAGUAUUGCAUUGCAAAAUAAAAAAGAAUUUUUUUAUUUUUUGCAUAGACAGUUGCAUUUGUGGCACUUUAUUUCUUCCAAAAUUAUGAAUAUAAACUAUUCUAAAUUAGUAUUUUAAAUGGUACAAAUGUCUUGCUUCAUUUAAGCCAUUUUUUAAGUCUCUGUGGUGUUCACAUCUGGAGUUAUAAAGCCUUUAAUAGGGUACCCCCUAAAUGGGCAAGGAUUGGCCAGAUUUGGCAUAUGCGCUAAGGGGUUAAAGAACAUCUUAUUGUCAUGGGUUUGGGGUGCAGUUCCGUUUUUUGGCCCACCGGCCUGAUUAUUACCUUAUUGGAUGCACCUGUUCCCAAUUAUUCCUCCCUAUGCCGUGAUUUCGGCCACCUGCGUAAGGCAAGGCUAUUUAACCCUCUGGGGUCGAGAGCUCCGCCGGCGGAGCUCGACAAGAUUAAAUUAACUUUCGUUUCUAUUUGGAUGAUUAACUUCACGUGCUGUUAUCAUACAGACGCAACAAAAACAUUGACAGAAACCUUAGAAUCGCGACUUUCCAAUGCGCCCAUUGGCAAAUAAUAUGAAUUGUUUUAAAAGUUUUAAAUUUGAUCAAUUAGACCAUGUAUGCUUUGUUAAACUUUACUCAUUACUAUGUGAAUUUCGCUCAGCAGGAAGUCCGCCCAAAUCGCAUUCACAUGUUAACAACAUUAUAAUUACUCUCCAUAGAAGGAGACUAAAGGAGGGGCGAUGCGAGAUCCAUGUGAGAAAUGCCAAGUCUGCGAAAGCGGGAUAGAAUGUCAAAGUGUCGCCUAAUUCACUUCUUUUGAGGUGAACAUUUCGUUUAAUUUUGGAAAAUGGUCCGUCCGGAAGCCGACACUGACAAAGAGCGGUGUCAUUUCGAACAGCGAACCGAUCCAGCUGAGGAUCAACUUCAUGCAGAUGUUGAUCAGGAAACACAGCCUAGUUCACCACUAGCUAAGAGGCCAGGCAGGCGUUGCAAGAGUACACCAGUCUCAUCUCAUCUUCCAUGCAGUUUACUUCAAUAAAUGUUCUAAAAUCAAAA